CUAUGGGCCAUGCCACCCUGAACACGCCCGAUCUCAUCUAAUCUCAGAAGCUAAGCAGGAUUGGGCCUGGUUAGUACUUGGAUGGGAGAAGCAAUGCCACAGUGAAACAACUUGUGGUUACCUUGU
rnacentral:rRNA from 1 species